rnacentral:misc_RNA from 1 species
UGGUUUGAGGAUCUUGGUGAUAGUUGUAGAAUUCACACCCACUGGCUUGUGACUUGAAUUAGUCCCUACCAAAGUCCCAUUUUCAAUUCCUAGUUGUGCAGUUGCCCCACCAGAGCCAACAGAAACGUUCAAUGGUGAAGGUUUUAAGAAAAAUGGUGAACUUUGUAAGCAAAGUGAUUCACACAUAUCCAAGUCCUUCUUAAACCUCUUCACAGAACCAGACUUCCUUCUCUUAGCACCUGUACGCCGGCUGUCCUGAAUAGAAUCUGCAUAAUCAACCUUGUGAAGUCCAUUUGUAGAGCCACCACCCCUUGAAGCAUUGUCAUCUUGGAAAUGUAUUGCCAGCUUAUCUGCAUUCACAUCAUUGGUAGAUAUUGUUCCCCUGAGCUCACUAAGCUUUGGAUCAUAUUCAUUAUCCUCUUUCAUGGCAAAAGUUUGUUUUGAACCAUUGGUGUACCCAUUCUCAUCAGCUUUCUUCACUGUUUUGGCAUUGCUAACAUCUCCAUUGUUCUCUCCUUCAUGACCUGAACCCGCAGGUGGAUCAGCAUGGCUUGAGUUAUUCAGAGGAGCAGAGGACAAGGAUUUAUCAACUACGUUUACUUCAACACCUGUAAUGCUAUAACCAGCAGAGGAACGUGACAACUUCUUCCUGGGC